CUCAAUGAGGACCUUCCAGACAUAGUUACUACAUACGAAAGAGAUCCUGGUAACCUGCAUUUAAAGUUGAAGCACUUGGACAUUAUUCAAAACACUACCACCAGGUCAGACCUAACUUCAAGUGAUACCGAGAAAGGGAUGGACACAUAUAGAGCUGCCGAGCCAAGAUGGGAUGCGAGGCUCAUACUCCCUCCACUGCUCUGGCCUCCAAAAUCAGCUUCCUAUACUAGACACAGAUGCAGAAGAGGAGCGUACAGUGCAUUCUUGGACCGUGUGGAAGAGAAACUCUCAAGAUCAUGGAAAAAUAGAUCCUAACUUUGUCUUUUUUAAUUAUUUAAAAAUCAAAUAUAUAUGUACAUAUCCCUGAUAAUGAUCAAAUAGGGACAUAUUUGGAGAUUCUAGUAGCUUUAAGGUUCUGGCGGUCAACAUGCAGGGUCAUAAAGGUCAUACAACCACAUUAAGACGCCCACUGACCACGGACAGCUGCUCACCCGGUUCCCCAAGAAUUAUAAACACGCCAAGCCUGCACAUGUUUCGAAGCAUAUCUGAAAUAGCUGAACAUAUGCGUUCAAGGAGUAAUCCGUGACUCUGGGCAUAACUCGCAGACUAAAUAUAAAAUGAAAAGAAUAUCAGUCACUGCAUUAAACCUCAUGACCCACACGCUGCCAUGUGUUUGUGUUAUUUUAAUCCCCUGUUAUCCUGUCAAAUGCUGAAAAAUGUAAUGUAA